rnacentral:rRNA from 1 species
UACGUAGGGGGCAAGCGUUGUCCGGAAUCAUUGGGCGUAAAGAGCGUGUAGGCGGCCCGGUAAGUCCGCUGUGAAAGUCCAGGGCUCAACCCUGGGAUGCCGGUGGAUACUGUCGGGCUCGAGUCCGGAAGAGGAGUGUGGAAUUCCUGGUGUAGCGGUGAAAUGCGCAGAUAUCAGGAGGAACACCGGUGGCGAAGGCGGCUCUCUGGACCGAGACUGACGCUGAGGCGCGAAAGCGUGGGGAGCAAACAGG